rnacentral:tRNA from 1 species
GUGGGCAUAGCUUGGUGGUAGAGUGCAUGCCUAGCAUGCACGAGAUCCUGGGUUCCAUCCCCAGUACCUCCA